rnacentral:rRNA from 1 species
CAGAGGGGCUAGCGUUGUUCGGAAUUACUGGGCGUAAAGGGCGCGUAGGUGGCCUGUUAAGUCGAACGUGAAAUCCCCGGGCUCAACCCGGGAACUGCGUCCGAGACUGGCAGGCUCGAAUCCGGGAGAGGGAUGUGGAAUUCCAGGUGUAGCGGUGAAAUGCGUAGAUAUCUGGAGGAACACCGGUGGCGAAGGCGGCAUCCUGGACCGGUAUUGACGCUGAGGCGCGAAAGCCAGGGGAGCAAACGGGAUUAGAUACCCCGGUAGUCCUGGCCCUAAACGAUGAAUGCUUGGUGUGGCGGGUAUCGAUCCCUGCCGUGCCGAAGCUAACGCAUUAAGCAUUCCGCCUGGGGAGUACGGUCGCAAGGCUG